GAUGAACGCUGGCGGCGUGCCUAAUACAUGCAAGUCGAACGGCAGCAUGGAGAGCUUGCUCUCUGAUGGCGAGUGGCGAACGGGUGAGUAAUGCAUCGGAACGUACCGUGUAAUGGGGGAUAACGUAGCGAAAGUUACGCUAAUACCGCAUACGACCUGAGGGUGAAAGCAGUGGAUCGCAAGACCUUGCGUUAUACGAGCGGCCGAUGUCAGAUUAGCUAGUUGGUGAGGUAAAGGCUCACCAAGACGACGAUCUGUAGCGGGUCUGAGAGGAUGAUCCGCCACACUGGGACUGAGACACGGCCCAGACUCCUACGGGAGGCAGCAGUGGGGAAUUUUGGACAAUGGGGGCAACCCUGAUCCAGCCAUGCCGCGUGAGUGAAGAAGGCCUUCGGGUUGUAAAGCUCUUUCGGCCGGGAAGAAAUCGCACAGGCUAAUACUCUGUGUGGAUGACGGUACCGGCAUAAGAAGCACCGGCUAACUACGUGCCAGCCGCCGCGGUAA
rnacentral:rRNA from 1 species